CCUAUUAUAUAAACCCACCACAUAUAUUUUACCCAAGUUGCAUCAACGUAUUCAACGAGCGUAAAUGCUAAAACAUAUUCAUAGGUUAAAGAAAAAAUCGGAAUAAGUAUACUUACUAGCUGUAGCAAGACAUAAGAUGACUGUAACCCAAAAAGCAAAGAAUAGAAUUAAAGCAGUAAAGGUUAAUAAUGGUUG